rnacentral:rRNA from 1 species
GAGACCGGCGCACGGGUGCGUAACGCGUAUGCAAUCUACCUUUUACAGAGGGAUAGCCCAGAGAAAUUUGGAUUAAUACCUCAUAGUAUAAUUGAAUGGCAUCAUUURAUUAUUAAAGUCACAACGGUAAAAGAUGAGCAUGCGUCCCAUUAGCUAGUUGGUAAGGUAACGGCUUACCAAGGCUACGAUGGGUAGGGGUCCUGAGAGGGAGAUCCCCCACACUGGUACUGAGACACGGACCAGACUCCUACGGGAGGCAGCAGUGAGGAAUAUUGGACAAUGGGCGCAAGCCUGAUCCAGCCAUGCCGCGUGCAGGAUGACGGUCCUAUGGAUUGUAAACUGCUUUUGUACAGGAAGAAACACUGGUUCGUGAACCAGCUUGACGGUACUGUAAGAAUAAGGAUCGGCUAACUCCGUGCCAGCAGCCGCGGUAAUACGGAGGAUCCAAGCGUUAUCCGGAAUCAUUGGGUUUAAAGGGUCCGUAGGCGGUUUGGUAAGUCAGUGGUGAAAGCCCAUCGCUCAACGGUGGAACGGCCAUUGAUACUGCUAGACUUGAAUUAUUAGGAAGUAACUAGAAUAUGUAGUGUAGCGGUGAAAUGCUUAGAGAUUACAUGGAAUACCAAUUGCGAAGGCAGGUUACUACUAAUAUAUUGACGCUGAUGGACGAAAGCGUGGGUAGCGAACAGGAUUAGAUACCCUGGUAGUCCACGCCGUAAACGAUGGAUACUAGCUGUUGGGCGCAAGUUCAGUGGCUAAGCGAAAGUGAUAAGUAUCCCACCUGGGGAGUACGUUCGCAAGAAUGAAACUCAAAGGAAUUGACGGGGGCCCGCACAAGCGGUGGAGCAUGUGGUUUAAUUCGAUGAUACGCGAGGAACCUUACCAAGGCUUAAAUGUAGAUUGACCGGUUUGGAAACAGACUUUUCGCAAGACAAUUUACAAGGUGCUGCAUGGUUGUCGUCAGCUCGUGCCGUGAGGUGUCAGGUUAAGUCCUAUAACGAGCGCAACCCCUGUUGUUAGUUGCCAGCGAGUCAUGUCGGGAACUCUAACAAGACUGCCAGUGCAAACUGUGAGGAAGGUGGGGAUGACGUCAAAUCAUCACGGCCCUUACGCCUUGGGCUACACACGUGCUACAAUGGCCGGUACAGAGAGCAGCCACUGGGCGACCAGGAGCGAAUCUACAAAACCGGUCACAGUUCGGAUCGGAGUCUGCAACUCGA